UCCCUGGUGGCUCAGACGGUAAAGCAUCUGCCUGGAAUGCGGGAGACCCCAGUUCAAACCCUGGGUCAGGAA
rnacentral:tRNA from 1 species